rnacentral:misc_RNA from 1 species
GGAAGUAAAAGUAGUAACAAGGUUUCCGUAGGUGAACCUGCGGAAGGAUCAUUAUUGUAUAACCGAGGUGCGAGGGCUGUCGCUGACCCGAAAGGUCGUGCACGCCCGAGUGCCCUCACACACAUCCAUCUCACCCCUAUGUGCACACCGCGUGGGUCCCCCUUUGGCUUGUUCGGAGGGGGGCUUACGUUUUCACACAAACUUUGUAUGCAGUGUAGAAUGUAUUUUUUGUUUUUGCGAUCACGCAAUCAAUACAACUUUCAACAACGGAUCUCUUGGCUCUC